AGAGUUUGAUCCUGGCUCAGAAUGAACGCUGGCGGCGUGCUUAACACAUGCAAGUCGAACGAGAAAGGGAUUGCUUGCAAUCCUGAGUAGAGUGGCGCACGGGUGAGUAACACGUAGAUAAUCUACCUUUGAACCUGGGAUAACUAAUCGAAAGGUUAGCUAAUACCGGAUGAAGUUAAUCGGCAUAAGUUGAUUGAUGAAAGACUGCCUAUCCUUGGAAGCAGUUGUUUGGAGAUGAGUUUGCGGACCAUUAGCUAGUUGGCAGGGUAAUGGCCUACCAAGGCGACGAUCGAUAGCCGGCCUGAGAGGGCACACGGCCACACUGGCACUGAAACACGGGCCAGACUCCUACGGGAGGCAGCAGUGGGGAAUCUUGCACAAUGGGGGAAACCCUGAUGCAGCGACGCCGCGUGAACGAUGAAGCCCUUCGGGGUGUAAAGUUCUUUCGACGGGGACGAUAAUGACGGUACCCGGAGAAGAAGCUGCGGCUAACUACGUGCCAGCAGCCGCGGUAAUACGUAGGCAGCAAGCGUUGUUCGGAAUUACUGGGCGUAAAGAGUGCGUAGGCGGUUGACUAAGUUUGGUGUGAAAUCUCCCGGCUUAACUGGGAGGGUGCGCCGAAAACUGGCCAGCUAGAGUGUGGGAGAGGAUAGUGGAAUUCCUGGUGUAGCGGUGAAAUGCGUAGAUAUCAGGAGGAACACCUGCGGUGUAGACGGCUAUCUGGACCAUGACUGACGCUGAGGCACGAAAGCGUGGGUAGCAAACAGGAUUAGAUACCCUGGUAGUCC
rnacentral:rRNA from 1 species